CUCAUUCUCUCUUCUCUCUCAAAGACUAAACCUAGCCGCCGUCCAAUUCCCUCAGAACCCUAGCCGCCUAGAAUUCCUCCGUCGUCCUCCGCUCGGAAAUCGCCUCACGGCGGUGGACCACCUCCAAUUCCACCCAAUUUUACACCAGACAACCACCAUACUCUCCUCAUCUCAUAUCUUCCAACAAUUUCUCCAAAAUCCUUAUCCAUUUGCUUCAAUUUCAGAUUUGAAAUUUCAAAAGAAACAAAAAUCCUAAACUGUCUCUCUUUCUGAUUUUUAUCUGUUUCAAGGCUCGAUUUGAGCCAAAGUUUAUGCCAAUCGAUUGUUCUCAGUAAGAACAAUCGAUUAGCGUCAUUUUUGGUUCAUUUCAAAGCUUGCCGGAUUCCGACCAAGUCAACACUGGCCAGCAGGGCUCCGAUGCUUUCAUAGCUCAUCGAUUCGCCUCAGUUGCCUAUUCAGUUUCCAGCAAAAUCAGUUUUUUAACAAGGGGAGGAAAGCUUUGAAAUUAUUUGGAUCCUCAUUGGAUGUCUCAUCUGUGUGAGGAACAAAGUGCUGAUUUGUAAACAACUCUGUAGCUGCCUUUGUAACUCAAGACCUACUUGAAAGGUUAUACAUUUGAGGGAGUCCAGAAUCUUAUUAGGCACUAUUUUGGUAUAAUAAAAGUUUUUUUUACUUAUAAGCAUAGUGGCAUAUCUAGGUCCUUUCUGUAACUUAGAUUUGGGGCUUACUUACUAAUGAAUGAUUCGUAUAAAUUUUAGUUUGAAACAUUUUUUUUGUAAUAAUGCUUGAAUUCAAUUACUGUAAUUAAUAACUAUGGAGUAGGCUAUCUUUGUAAUUCUUAUCUCCAAUUUAGCUGUGAUA